rnacentral:lncRNA from 1 species
GAACCGGUUGGACUCCAGCUGGUUUCCGGCCCCAAUGCGAGAAAAAGAGCCCCUCAAGAAAAGUUCGAAAACUCACGACACGCGACAGGAAAGUUGCUGAGCUAGGGGGAGGGACUCACUCCCCACCUGCAAGAGAGCAGUGAGAACGAGGGGGUCUCAGGUACAGACACCCGCUCGCCUGUUGCUUCACGGGGUUCUCAGGAGUCUCCUCAGGUGCCUUCUGCUGAAGUCAGGGCCGUUAAAAGAUCAGCUGAGCUCCCAUUCUCGUGUCAACCUCUGUGUGAGCCAGGAGGGAUUCAGAAACAAAAGCGCAUCCCUUGACUAUGGAAGCCUCUGGUUUAGAACCUGUGUCGCUGACAACCCACUGGCCUAGAUUUGGGGUCCCUUUGAAAUGCAGAUGCAGCAGGUUUCCUGCACCGUGAAUCCAACUGUGCCAAGCCUAGGCUCGCGCGGAACCAAUCCUGAGCGCGACCCGGGCACUGGGACGCCGACUCCGCCGAAGGUGAACGAGGCAGCGGGACCGGUCCGCGCCCGAGCGUGGAGAUGA